rnacentral:sRNA from 12 species
AUUUUAUAGUAAUCAUUUAUAUCCUGAUGUAUGAAUGUCUAAUCAACAUGUCAGGGCAUAAUCAAAAAGACUCAUCUUAGUAUUAAACGAUAGUUUAAUCAUAGGGUGGAAAAUAAUAUGUAUAAAAGUACUCAGUGAAGAUAUUAUUUUGAAUAGAGAAAUCUAAAGUCUAAACGGUUAUGGCACAUUUUUUAAAUGAAUAUUAGUGUAGUUUUGCUCUUGGGUGACGCAAUAGACGCUCUCAGUGAGAGAAUAACCCUAAAACCUAUAAUAAAUAGAGGUAUUUGUUAUAGUAAGUAGGGAAUACCUAAAUAAGUCAUUUUGCCGUGAAGUUAUGAAAAUAACUAUAACAAGAGAAGAAACUAUGAGUAGCCUAAUACGGCAGACAACAGAUUUAAAACAAAUAUUUAAAAACAAGUCUACUAAUAGGGGUUGUUUGUUUAAAAACAAGUUUUAAUUUAAUUCUGAAUGAUAGGUGAAAGUUAUAGGUGAUAUUCCUAUUAUGGCUUGGGUUUUUAUAAACCAGGGUAAGAACUUAAAGGGUCGCAGCUUUAGGUCAGACUUAUCUUCCAUAUCGCAUAAUAAAUUGCAGUUUAAAAAAUGUAGCUGAUAAAAAAGCAUGUUAAUGAUUACUAUAAA